GACGCUGGCGGCAGGCCUAACACAUGCAAGUCGAACGGUAACAUUUCUAGCUUGCUAGAAGAUGACGAGUGGCGGACGGGUGAGUAAUGCUUGGGAACUUGCCUUUGCGAGGGGGAUAACAGUUGGAAACGACUGCUAAUACCGCAUAAUGUCUACGGACCAAAGGGGGGGCUUGUUCCUCCCGCGUGAAGAGAGGCCCAAGUGAGAUUAGCUAGUUGGUGGGGUAAAGGCUCACCAAGGCGACGAUCUCUAGCUGUUCUGAGAGGAAGAUCAGCCACACUGGAACUGAGACACGGUCCAGACUCCUACGGGAGGCAGCAGUGGGGAAUAUUGCACAAUGGGGGAAACCCUGAUGCAGCCAUGCCGCGUGUGUGAAGAAGGCCUUCGGGUUGUAAAGCACUUUCAGUUGUGAGGAAAAGAUAGUAGUUAAUACCUGCUAUCCGUGACGUUAACAACAGAAGAAGCACCGGCUAACUCCGUGCCAGCAGCCGCGGUAAUACGGAGGGUGCGAGCGUUAAUCGGAAUUACUGGGCGUAAAGCGCACGCAGGCGGUUUGUUAAGCUAGAUGUGAAAGCCCCGGGCUCAACCUGGGAUGGUCAUUUAGAACUGGCAGACUAGAGUCUUGGAGAGGGGAGUGGAAUUCCAGGUGUAGCGGUGAAAUGCGUAGAUAUCUGGAGGAACAUCAGUGGCGAAGGCGACUCCCUGGCCAAAGACUGACGCUCAUGUGCGAAAGUGUGGGUAGCGAACAGGAUUAGAUACCCUGGUAGUCCACACCGUAAACGCUGUCUACUAGCUGUGUGUCCCUUUAAGGCGUGCGUAGCGAAGCUAACGCGAUAAGUAGACCGCCUGGGGAGUACGGCC
rnacentral:rRNA from 1 species